rnacentral:rRNA from 1 species
CCUACGGGUGGCACCAGUGGGGAAUAUCGUACAAUGGGCGCAAGCCUGAUGCAGCCAUGCCGCGUGUAUGAGGAAGGCCCUAGGGUUGUAAAGUACUUUCAGUCGGGAGGAAGGCGUUGAUGCUAAUAUCAUCAACGAUUGACGUUACCGACAGAAGAAGCACCGGCUAACUCCGUGCCAGCAGCCGCGGUAAUACGGAGGGUGCAAGCGUUAAUCGGAAUUACUGGGCGUAAAGCGCACGCAGGCGGUUGAUUAAGUUAGAUGUGAAAUCCCCGGGCUUAACCUGGGAAUGGCAUCUGAGACUGGUCAGCUAGAGUCUUGUAGAGGGGGGUAGAAUUCCAUGUGUAGCGGUGAAAUGCGUAGAGAUGUGGAGGAAUACCGGUGGCGAAGGCAGCCCCCUGGACAAAGACUGACGCCCAGGUGCGAAAGCGUGGGGAGCAAACAGGAUUAGAUACCCCUGUAGUC